AGGUAAUAGAUACCCGGGUAGUCCACGCCGUAAACGAUGAAUACUAGGUGUAGGAGGUAUCAACUCCUUCUGUGCCGCAGUUAAACACAAUAAGUAUUCCGCCUGGGAAGUACGAUCGCAAGAUUAAAACUCAAAGGAAUUGACGGGGGCCCGCACAAGCAGCGGAGCAUGUGGUUUAAUUCGAAGCAACGCGAAGAACCUUACCUAGACUUGACAUCCCCUGAAUUACCUGUAAUGAGGGAAGUCCCUUCGGGGACAGGGAGACAGGUGGUGCAUGGUUGUCGUCAGCUCGUGUCGUGAGAUGUUGGGUUAAGUCCCGCAACGAGCGCAACCCUUAUCAUUAGUUGCUACCAUUAAGUUGAGCACUCUAAUGAGACUGCCCGGGUUAACCGGGAGGAAGGUGGGGAUGACGUCAAAUCAUCAUGCCCCUUAUGUCUAGGGCCACACACGUGCUACAAUGGUGAGUACAACGAGAUGCGAACCCGCGAGGGGAGCUAAACUCAAAAACUCAUCUCAGUUCGGAUUGCAGGCUGCAACUCG
rnacentral:rRNA from 1 species